UGGAAGACUAGUGAUUUUGUUGUUCUAAUUUUUACGUAACAAGGAAUCACUAAUCAUCCCAC
rnacentral:pre_miRNA from 1 species